CAAUGCCAUGAAUAUAUUAGCAUGGAAUAAUAAUAUAGGAUUUCGGUUCUAUUUUGUUGGUUUCUAGGGCUGAAAUAAUGAUUAAUAGGGACAGUUGGGGGCAUUCGUAUUAUGACGUCAGAGGUGGAAUUCUUGGAUUGUCAUACGACGAACUACUGCGAAAGCAUUUGCCAAGGAUGUUUUCAUUGAUCAAGAACGAAAGUAAGGGGAUCGAAGACGAUUAGAUACCGUCGUAGUCUUUACCAUAAACUAUGCCAACUAGAGAUUCGGCGUCGUUCUUUGUAUGACUCGCUGAGCACCUUAUGAGAAAUCAAAGUCUUUGGGUUCCGGGGGGAGUAUGGUCGCAAGUCUGGAACUUAAAGGAAUUGACGGAAGGGCACCACCAGGAGUGGAGCCUGCGGCUUAAUUUGACUCAACACGGGGAAACUCACCAGGUCCAGACAUAAUAAGGAUUGACAGAUUGAUAGCUCUUUCUUGAUUUUAUGGGUGGUGGUGCAUGGCCGUUCUUAGUUCGUGGAGUGAUCUGUCUGCUUAAUUGCGUUAACGAACGAGACCUUAACCUGCUAAAUAGGAGCGUCUAUCUUCGGAUAAGCGCCUUUCUUCUUAGAGGGACUUUGUGCGUUUCAGCAUGAGGAAGUUUGAGGCUAAAACAGGUCUGUGAUGCCCUUAGAUGUUCUGGGCUGCACGCGCGCUACACUGAUGCGUUCAACGAGUGUACAACCUUGCCCGAUAGGGUUGGGUAACCUUCUGAACACGCAUCGUGAUGGGGAUAGAUCAUUACAAUUAUUGAUCUUCAACGAGGAAUUCCUAGUAAUGAUGGUUCAUCAGACCGUCGUGAUUACGUCCCUGCCCUUUGUACACACCGCCCGUCGCUCCUACCGAUUGAGCAAUCCGGUGAAUAUUUCGGACCGGACCCUGUCGGGGCAACUCGUUCAGGGACUGGAAAGUCAAGUUAACCUUAUUGCUUAGAGGAAGGAGAAGUCGUAACAAGGUUUCCGUAG
rnacentral:rRNA from 1 species